AAGAAGAGACCGGCUUUUUUGACCCUUUUCCCCUAGUACCCUUAGUAGCACUCAUUAGACCAAACACCUUCGCAUGAUCGCAUCCACUGGCAGCUGAAGAACAGGAAACCCAUGGCGCCGCCUCCAUCUACGAGCUUUCCAGCACUGUAAUCUCUGCUUCACAGCAAAGGAGUACAUGGCGCAAGCUGCACUCAUCCACCUCUCCACCCUCCCACGUUAUUGCUUCCUCCUCUCCUCCAGAUUGUCUAACAUUUCGUCAUUCAGCAAACCCAGAAACUCCACCUCAUUCUACGGCUCAUGCGUCACCUGCCGCGUGAGCAGAUGGGCCGAACGACUCCUUGGAGACUUCCAAUUCAACCCAGCGGUCGCCGAGCCCAGCUCAUCUCCGUCUUCAUCGGCAGUCGCUGACCCUCCUGGCUUCUCCCUCUUACCUGCUGCCGCCGAGCGUACCAUCCCCCUCCCGAUCGACUUCUACCAGGUUCUUGGCGCCGAAACGCAUUUCUUGGCGGAUGGAAUCCGAAGGGCAUAUGAAGCUAGGGUUUCAAACCCUCCCCAGUAUGGAUUUAGCCAGGAAGCCCUUAUUGGUCGUUGGCAGAUACUCCAGGCUGCAUGUGACAUUCUUUCAAAGUCCAGUUCCAGGGGCGACUAUAACCGGGGUCUCGCCGAAGAUCCCAGCUCCACUCUUACUACCCAAGUCCCCAUGGAUAAGGUUCCAGGGGCUCUGUGUCUACUUCAAGAGGCUGGUGAAGCAGAGACAGUCCUUCAAGUUGGUGGUGGUCUUUUACGUGAGUGGUUGCCUAAACCUUUCAAGCAGGAUGUGGUACUAGCUAUGGUCCUUGCAUAUGUUGACUUGUCAAGGGAUGCUAUGGCCAUGAAUCCACCAGAUUUCAUGGGUUGUUGUGAAGUUCUUCAGAGAGCAUUAAAGCUACUACAGGAGGAAGGGGCUAGCAACCUUGCACGUGACCUGAUGGCACAGAUUGAUGAGACAUUGGAAGAGAUAUCCCCUCGUUGUACUCUUGAACUUCUAGCCUUGCCCCUUGAUGAAGAGCACCGUAUAAAACGGCAAGAUGGUCUACAUAGUGUACGCAGUAUAUUGUGGACGGUUGGUAAAGGAGGUGCUUCAGUAAUAGGGGGAGGAUUCACUCGUGAAGAUUUCAUGAAUGAAGCAUUUGUACAUAUGACAGCUUCGGAGCAGAUAGAUUUGUUUGCUGCGACACCAAGUAACAUACCAGCGGAGAGCUUUGAAGUAUAUGGUGUGGCACUGGCUUUAGUAGCACAGGCCAUUAUUGGUAAAAAGGCGCAUCUUAUUAAAGAUGCUGGCAAUCUUUUUCAGCAACUCCAACAGACCAAAGUUACCUCUUUAGGUGCUAAUUCUGAAUACACCACCAAGGUAGACAGGGAGAUAGACUUUGCACUUGAAAGGGGUCUCUGCUCACUGCUAUUGGGAGAUCUUGAUGAGUGCUACUCAUGGUUGGGCAUUGAUGAUAAGAGUUCGCCUUAUAGAAAUCGGGAUAUUGUAGAAUUCAUCAUGAGCAAUUCGAACAUUGGCAGUGAUCAUGAUCCUCUACCUGGACUUUGCAAAUUGUUAGAGACAUGGCUCAUUGAGGUUGUUUUCCCAAGAUUUAGAGAUACUCAAGGUAUACAGUUUAGACUCAAGGAUUACUAUGAUGAUCCAACAGUGCUGAGAUAUCUAGAAAAAAUGGAAGGAGGUGGGGCUUCACCGUUAGCAGCAGCUGCUUCCAUAGUAAAAAUUGGGGCUGAAGCUACUGCUGCACUUGGUAAUGUAAAAUCAAGUGCACUUCAUGCUCUGCAGAAAGUGUUUCCAUUGACCAAGAGGGAGGGAAGAGGUAGCAUUGAGGUCUCCACUGGUUUACAUAGUUCUACAUCUGAACUAGGUGGAGUUGAAGAGUCCAGAAUGGAUACCUAUCAAUAUGUUAAAGAGAAUGAGAACGAGGCUUUUGAGAAACCCAAUUCUGAAUAUUCUAACGAGGAAGAUUUUACAUACAUGAUAAAGGAAGCAAGCAUGAAGAUAAUGUGUGCUGGAAUAGCUGUGGGCAUACUGACUCUUGCUGGACUCAGGUACUUACCAAGGAGAAAUGUGUCUUCAGGUUCAAUAAAGGAAGUUGGAUCUGCAAUGGCUGAAAAUACAGUUCAUACUGUUAUCCCUGCAAUUCAGAAUGUAGAAAAGGAGUUACCCAAAAUGGAUGCAAGACAUGCCGAAAGCCUAGUCCGCAAGUGGCAAAAUAUAAAAUCUCAGGCCUUGGGUCCUGAUCACCAUCUUGAGGAUCUGCCAACGAUUCUUGAAGGCCGGAUGCUGAAGAUAUGGAAGGAUCGUGCUUCAGAAGUUGCCCAACAAGGCUGGUUCUGGGAGUACACUCUACAGGACCUGACAAUUGAUAGCCUUACUAUCUCACUGGAUGGUCGCCGAGCCACCGUAGAAGCUACGAUUAAUGAGGCGGCGAGAUUAAUAGAAGCUGCUCAGCCUGAGCUCAAAGACUCGUACGACACGACUUAUACGACGCGAUACGAGAUGGCUUGUUUGGAAUCUGGCUGGAAGAUAACUGAAGGAGCUGUUCUCAAACCAUAGAUUGUACCUAUGCAUUUCUCUUAGAAGAUAACUGAAGGAGUCUCAAACCAUAGAUUGCAUCUUUACUUCCUUUGCACAGCUUGCAAAUAAAAGGGUGUUUCUCGACUGCUCGUCGUGGAUUCGCGCAGGACUCAUUGUGCAAAUAAUGGCAGUUCUCGCAUUACCUCCCAAGGAAUUCUGUAAUAUUCGUGUCAACUUUGAAUCUCGAUAAGGAAUAUGUGUAUUUCUUCCCUUGCUGCAUUUAAGAUAAGGAUGUGGACAAAAAAAGAACAAAUGAUAAUCAAUAAAGAAAAAUAGUGAGACAAUUUGAUUUUUUCUCUUAAAA